GAUAUUCAUGUAGUUGACACUUUUUGACCCUUUCUAUAGUCACACUUUAUAAGAAGUGGUAGAAGUAAACUUCUGUAUAAUGUAUAUAUGAUGUUUGUAGUGUUUAAAAUGAAGAAAGAACAUGAAAUGUUAAUCAUUGAAAUUGAUACUUUGUGGGGGAUGGAAACAUUGUCCAGUCUAUUCCAGUUCCUUCCCAUUCAUGCCUAUCCUAAGCCAUCCUGACCCUGUCCAUCCCAUUUCUGAUGGGUAAUUCGUGUAUGAUUGUACAAAUAAUAUAUAAUAUAGCAUAUUAGAAUUAAAAUAUUAAUGUUGAGCAUGGCCCAAAUAAAGGAAGAGAAAAUAUGUGUAUAAAUAGAAUAAUUUUAGAUAUGUUUUAUUCAUGCAAUUGACACUUACUAUGGUAACACUUUGUAAGAAGUGGUAAAACUACACUUCUUUAUAAGUAGAUACAUAUUUGAUAGAAAAGGUUAUAAACAUUUGUUUUUCGAGCUGUUCAUAAUAUUAUUAUGGAAACAGUCUAUUACCUAAAGACAAAAAGACAAAUGAUUAUUAAAUCUGGAACCACAUUGCAUGAGCAAAUGAAGGUUUAUGUACAGUUGUUGAAAGUUACAUUCUUGCUGUAUUUUGAGAAGUAUGGAAAAAGAAUUGUUUGAUAGGUAAAAUUCUUUUCUUUGUUUCAGUCAUAUUUGCUGAAUUUGCUGACCAUUGUUGAAGGUGUGGAUUUUCCCUGGGAAAAAAUGAAGAAUGUUUUCAAAAAGAGACUGUAUUCAUUUGUAGUGUUUGAAGUGAUGAAAGAAUAACAAAUGGAGACAGAAGACAAAAGAUGUUGAAUGUGACAGCUGGAAAUGUAAGUAGUAGGCUACAAGACUGAUUUCCAAACCAAAUGAUAGGCACUAGUAGGUAUUGUUGUUUAUAAUGGUACUUGUAGUUUUGUUUAUAAAAGGUUUAAUUGAUAUGUUUACCUGUUACUCACAGGUAAAUGUCAACUUCUCUUCUCAAAUUACAGGUGGAGGAUGAUUGAUUUAGACUUUAGCUUAAGAGGAUUUAACUAAUGUAUUCCAUGUAACUUUUACCAUGAUUUUAGAUGCCUAAGUUCCAAAACAUUAACACUUAUUAGCAGAAACACCCAUGGAUGAAGAAUCAGACUGCAUAAUCGAGGAAGGGCGGAUGAUGAAAAUUGUCACAUGCUACAAGAAAAAUGCCAGCUUGAAAGAUAGAAUCCCACAAACUACCAGCACCAACUCGGACAGAUGGUAUCUCAACAUAUAGUAGAUUCACUGUGAUAUGUGGUAGAGCAGAUAUAGCUGGUCAAAUCAUACAAGAAUGUUGAGUUGAUGGACAAUGAAGAGCCGUUACAUGACAUGAAAGUACAGCUGACCACAGUGCAGGGUAACCACAAGGAAUCUAUGGAACAGCUUGGGGACAUGUCCCAGCAAGUGGCCAUGCUGAGGACUGAGGUCUCUCGAACACAGCAACAGAACCAGGCAAUGUCUGAAGAUUUGAGCAGUUAUGAACAGAAGAUACAUCAGCUGAAGUAAGAAUUAAAGAAGAUGCAAGACAUCUACCGAGUCUCCGAGAGUGGAGCUCCAAAAUUUCAAGAUGAAGUACAAUGACCUGCAAAAGGAAGCAGUUAUGUCCCAGGACAGGAACCGAGCCCGCCCGCUUAGCUCAGUAGGGAGAGUGUUGGUCUGCAGAUCGCGGGAUCGCGAGUUCGAUCCUCGGGCGGGACGUAUGUUCUCCAU
rnacentral:lncRNA from 1 species